rnacentral:lncRNA from 1 species
UCAAAAUCCUCUAAAUGUGGCAACCAUUUCAAAUGCACCCUGUUGCCGCUUGGAUUUGGAAACAAACUACAUCCUAUCUGAAAUAGUAUAUAUGCUCUCGCCGUAGCUCUAACAAUAGCGGGAGGUGCGUCUAAGGGGAUAUCAUGGAACUGCUGAUAUAACCAAUCUAUCUUGAUCUCACCACCCCUAAUAUCCUCCGGAACCACCCCGAGAAGUAACCCGCAGAGCUCUGCCCACUGAUAGGAUCCCCCUCCAGUCNCUAUAUAUAGUAUAGAGAGCAUAGUAGCCUAGCUCUCUCUCUCUAUAUAUAUAUAUAGUAUAUUGGCCUAGUUCGAUAAUGCAUUUUUGCAGGAUUGAGACUCUAACUUGAAAUUGAUCGCCUACAAACCUAAUUGAGGGUAAAGCGAACACGUUGGCGAAGUCGGUUCGGCAAUCCGUCGAGCCUACGUUAAGAUAUCGCCAAAAGGACGUUUUCAGCUUCAAAAUGGAAUGAUAAUCGAAAUCCGUCGAGCCUAACUCUAUAUAUAGGACUUUUAAAUUCAAGAUCAAGAAUGUUAAUCUUAAUCUAUAUAGUUUAAAGUAUUUUCUAUCAAAAUUUGAAGAAAUUUAGAUUCUUCUAUAUAGUAGCCCAGCUCUAUAUAUAGUAUAGAUAAUAUAGUAGCCUAGCUUCUAUACACGCGUUAUUCAUUCAUCCUUACAUUACACCAUUUAUAUCUUCAUGUUGCAAAGGAGAUGUUUUUUAUUGGGUUUUAGUAUGUUCUAUACAUUGGCCUGAGGCAUGCAGCUAGAGUAAAACUUGACAUGCAACUAAGUGUUCCUAAUGGGAAGAUACUGAUAAAUCACAUUAUUGAAUACAAAAUUCGACAGAUUGAGUAACUUGUAUAAAUCUGAGACUCUAACUGCUGAUCCGGCUGAUCACGAUAAAACUCAAUAUCAGUAGUCCUGACAUUGUCCAGAAAUGCUAAUCUAGUAUUCCACAUGUUUCAUUUAUAUCAUAUUAGUGAUGAAAAAUUAGUAUAUAGAAAACUUAAAAUGAAAAAAUACUUACCGACACCCUAAUGGCAUGUCGACAAGCUCAGGCUGCGGGCCUACUACCUCAGGGCGGCCAAUAUGCAGGUGGUCCCAUGCCCAUAUCUAUACAAAAAAAAACAUUCUUGUUAGAAAUGAAAACAAAAACCAUGACUUAACUAGAAGUAUUAUAAGGGUCUUCUUGUUAGAAGUAUUGUACCUGAAUUAAUGUCCCAAAACAACAACACUCGACCUUUCCCCUGAUGCAAGUAUUUCCUAGGGCACGAUAAAGAUGUGCUAGCGCGACUGCACCCACGACAAAGGUCAAAAUCCUCUAAAUGUGGCAACCAUUUCAAAUGCACCAUGUUCCCGCUUGGAUUUGGAAACAAACUACAUUCUAUCCGAAAUAGUAUAUAUGCUCUCGCCGUAGCUCUAACAAUAGCAGGAGGUGCGUCUAAGGGGAUAUCAUGGAACUGCUGAUAUAACCAAUCUAUCUUGAUCUCACCACCCCUAAUAUCCUCCGGAACCACCCCGAGAAGUAACCCGCAGAGCUCUGCCCACUGAUAGGAUCCC